CAAGUCCACUGCAAUGAAGGAGUAGCGAUCCACAUUGACCCCGGGUCAUGCGCGGGCAGUUGUGAGGCUGUGCGUGAAGUGUUGACAGGGGAGUGUGUAGGCCCGCCAUUGAACCGCGAAAUUGACGCUUCUCGGGUGCCGAUGUUUGUCUUGUGUUGUUGAUUGCCAUUGAGAACUGACUCUGUAUUGGAGUA
rfam:Pararhizobium polonicum strain F5.1 contig_10, whole genome shotgun sequence.